rnacentral:rRNA from 1 species
CUGCAUGGCUGUCGUCAGCUCGUGUCGUGAGAUGUCGGUUAAGUCCGCUAACGAGCGCAACCCUCACUGUGUGUUAUAUGUGUCACACGGGACUGCCGGGUUUUAAGCCGGAGGAAGGUGGGGAUGACGUCAAGUCAGCAUGGCCUUUAUAUCCUGGGCUACACACACGCUACAAUGGUCGGUACAAUAGGUUGCCAAGCCGCGAGGCGGAGCCAAUCCACAAAGCCGGCCUCAGUUCAGAUUGUAGGCUGCAACUCGCCUGCAUGAAGAUGGAGUUGCUAGUAACCGCAGGUCAGCAAUACUGCGGUGAAUACGUUCCCGGGUCUU